rnacentral:rRNA from 1 species
GACGAACGCUGGCGGCGCGCUUAACACAUGAUAGGCGAACAGAAAGGACCUGCAUUUGUGGGGUGCUAGAGUGGCAAACGGGUGAGAAACACGAGAGGAACCUGGCCAUGACUUCGGGAUAACUUCAUGAAACUGGGGCUAAUACCGCAUAGGAGCUCCUGCUGCAUGGUGGGGGUUGGAAAGAUGAUGACGUUGGGGAUGGACUCCCGUCUUAUCAGCUUGCUGGUGGGGUAGUGGCUUACCAACCGCUUUCACGGAAUAGCCGGCCUGAGAGGGUGAACGACCACAUUGGGGCUGACAUACACGCCCACACUCCUACCGCAAGCAGAACUGAGGAAUAUUGCGCAAUGGGCGGAAACCUGAUGCAACAACGCCGAGCGCGACAUGACUGCCUUUGGGUUGUAAACCGCUUUCGGCUGUGACCAAUCGUGAGUGACGGUCAAUGGGUAAAGAAGCCCCGGCUAACUACCUGCCAACACCCGCGGUGAUACCCAUGGUGCCAGCAGUGCCCGGAUUUAUUGGUGAUAAAGGGCUCUGUAGGUGCUUGAUCCCGUCAGAAAUGCACAUCUUGGAGCUUACACCCUGAACGUGCGUUCACAUACGGGUUGACUUGACGAAGGUAGGGCAGAAUGGAAUUCCUGGCGGAGCCGUGGAAUACGCAGAUAUCAGGAGGAACACCAGUGGCGAAGGCGGUUCUAUGGGCCUUUCUCGACGCUGACGGAGCGAAAGCGUGUGGAGGCAAACAGGCUUAGAUACCCUGGUAGUCCACGCCGUAAUCGGUGGGUAAUAGGUGUGGGGUCCAUUCCACGGGUUCCGUGCCGUAGCUAACGCUUUAAGUACCCCGCUUGGGGAGUACGGCCGCAAGGCUAAAACUCAAAGGAAUUGACGGGGCCCCGCACAAGCGGCGGAGCAUGCGGAUUAAUUCAGAUGCAACGCGUAGAACCUUACAUGGGUUUGACAUGGAUCGGGAGUGCUCAGAGAUGGGUGUGCCUCUUUUGGGGUCGGUUCACAGGUGGUGCAUGGCUGUCGUCAGCUCGUGUCGUGAGAUGUUGGGUUAAGUCCCGCAACGAGCGCAACCCUUGUUCACUGUUGCCAGCACGUUAGGGGGGGGACUCAGGGGAGACCGCCGGGGUCACCUCGGAGGAAGGUGGGGAUGACUCCAAGUCAUCAUGCCCCUUAUGUCCAGGGCUUCACGCAUGAUACAAUGGAUGGUACAGAGAGUGGCGAGCCCGUAAGGGUGAGCGAAUCUCGGAAAGCCGGUCUCAGUUCGGACUGGGGUGUGCAACUCGACCUCAUGAAGUAGGAGUCGUUAGUAAUCGCAGAUCAGCAACGAUGCGGUGAAUAAGUUCCCGGGGCG